UCGAGAAUCUUCGGCAAUGGACGAAAGUCUGACCGAGCGACGCCGCGUGCGGGAUGAAGGUCUUCGGAUUGUAAACCGCUGUCAGAGGGGAUGAAGUAUACGGAAGCAAUCUUUCGUAUUUGACAGAGCCUCAGAGGAAGCACGGGCUAAGUUCGUGCCAGCAGCCGCGGUAAUACGAACUGUGCGAACGUUAUUCGGAAUCACUGGGCUUAAAGGGUGCGUAGGCGGUUUUCUAAGUCACGUGUGAAAUCUUCCGGCUCAACCGGAAAACUGCGCGUGAAACUAGUUAACUGGAGUGAGGUAGGGGUGUGUGGAACUUCCGGUGGAGCGGUGAAAUGUGUAGAGAUCGGAAGGAACGCCAGCAGCGAAAGCGGCACACUGGGCCUUUUCUGACGCUGAGGCACGAAAGCUAGGGGAGUGAACG
rnacentral:rRNA from 1 species